GACGAACGCUGGCGGCGUGCUUAACACAUGCAAGUCGAACGGAAAGGCCCUGCUUUUGUGGGGUGCUCGAGUGGCGAACGGGUGAGUAACACGUGAGUAACCUGCCCUUGACUUUGGGAUAACUUCAGGAAACUGGGGCUAAUACCGGAUAGGAGCUCCUGCUGCAUGGUGGGGGUUGGAAAGUUUCGGCGGUUGGGGAUGGACUCGCGGCUUAUCAGCUUGUUGGUGGGGUAGUGGCUUACCAAGGCUUUGACGGGUAGCCGGCCUGAGAGGGUGACCGGCCACAUUGGGACUGAGAUACGGCCCAGACUCAUACGGGAGGCAGCAGUGGGGAAUAUUGCACAAUGGGCGGAAGCCUGAUGCAGCAACGCCGCGUGCGGGAUGACGGCCUUCGGGUUGUAAACCGCUUUAGCCUGUGACGAAGCGUGAGUGACGGUAAUGGGUAAAGAAGCACCGGCUAACUACGUG
rnacentral:rRNA from 1 species